AUCUUUGUGCUUGGGGCAAUGACAUAACUAGUGAGGUAAAACCUAGGUGUGCCAAUCUCUGGUUGAAAACGAUGCGUGAUGUUGCACCAUGUUAAUAUGUUGACAAUGUUCUAAUCGAUUGGAGAUGAGCAUCCCCA
rnacentral:snRNA from 1 species